CCUACGGGAGGCUGCAGUGGGGAAUAUUGGGCAAUGGACGCAAGUCUGACCCAGCGACGCCGCGUGCGGGAUGAAGGCCUUCGGGUUGUAAACCGCUUUCAGCAGGGAAGAAGCGAAAGUGACGGUACCUGCAAAAGAAGCACCGGCUAACUAUGUGCCAGCAGCCGCGGUAAUACAUAGGGUGCAAGCGUUGUCCGGAAUUAUUGGGCGUAAAGAGCUCGUAGGUUGUUAGUUACGUCGGAUGUGAAAUUUUGGGGCUCAACCCCGAACCUGCAUUCGAUACGGGCUGACUAGAGUUUGGUAGGGGAGACUGGAAUUCCUGGUGUAGCGGUGGAAUGCGCAGAUAUCAGGAGGAACACCAAUGGCGAAGGCAGGUCUCUGGGCCAAUACUGACACUGAGGAGCGAAAGCGCGGGGAGCGAACAGGAUUAGAUACCCGUGUAGUC
rnacentral:rRNA from 1 species